rnacentral:rRNA from 1 species
CCUACGGGAGGCAGCAGUGGGGAAUUUUGGACAAUGGGCGCAAGCCUGAUCCAGCCAUGCCGCGUGAGUGAAGAAGGCCUUCGGGUUGUAAAGCUCUUUCAGACGGAAAGAAAUCGGGCGGGCCAAUAACCCUGCCUGGAUGACGGUACUGUCAGAAGAAGCACCCGCU